rnacentral:tRNA from 1 species
GCGAGUGUAGCUCAGUUGGUUAGAGCACUCCACUGAUAAUGGAGAGGUCGUAGGUUCGAGUCCUACCACUCGCACCA